GGGCUUGACAUCCCACGAACCUCCUGAAAGGGAGGAGUGCCCUUCGGGGAGCGCGGAGACAGGUGGUGCAUGGCUGUCGUCAGCUCGUGUCGUGAGAUGUUGGGUUAAGUCCCGCAACGAGCGCAACCCUCACCUCUUGUUGCCACCAGGUCAUGCUGGGCACUCUAGAGGAACUGCCCCGGUCAACGGGGAGGAAGGCGGGGAUGACGUCAAGUCAUCAUGCCCCUUACGUCCUGGGCUACACACGUGCUACAAUGGCCGGUACAAAGGGAUGCCACACCGCGAGGUAGAGCUAAACCCAAAAAGCCGGUCUAAGUUCAGAUUGGAGUCUGCAACUCGACUCCAUGAAGGAGGAAUCGCUAGUAAUCGCGUAUCAGCACGACGCGGUGAAUACGUUCCCGGGCCUUGUACACACCGCCCGUCACACCACGAAAGCCCGUUGUACUCGAAGUCGCUGAG
rnacentral:rRNA from 1 species